rnacentral:rRNA from 1 species
GAUGAACGCUGGCGGCGUGCCUAAUACAUGCAAGUCGAGCGAACGGACGAGAAGCUUGCUUUUCUGAUGUUAGCGGCGGACGGGUGAGUAACACGUGGAUAACCUACCUAUAAGACUGGUAUAACUUCGGGAAUCCGGAUCUAAUACCGGAUAAUAUUUUGAACCGCAUGGUUCAAAAGUGAAAGACGGUCUUGCUGUCACUUCUAGAUGGAUCCGCGCUGCAUUAGCUAGUUGGUAAGGUAACGGCUUACCAAGGCAACGAUGCAUAGCCGACCUGAGAGGGGGGUCGGCAACACGGGAACGGAGACACGGUCAAGACGCCUACGGGAGGGAGCAGUAGGGAAUCUUCCGCAAUGGGCGAAAGCCUGACGGAGCAACGCCGCGUGAGUGAUGAAGGUCUUCGGAUCGGAAAACUCUGUUAUUAGGGAAGAACAGAUGUGGAAGUAAAUGUGCAGAGCUUGACGGUACCUAAUCAGAAAGCCACGGCUAACUACGUG